UGGACCCUUCUGGCUGCGGUGACGGAUACUACGCAAAUAGUGACAAUCACAUCUGCACCCCGUGCGGCAUUAGUUCAUGCAGGGCCUGCAGUAGGAGCGGCAGUGGCGUCAAGUGCACGGCAUGCUCCUCUGGGUACCUCUCCGUCGACGGGUCCUCGUGCUCUUCUGAAUGCAAUGGACCCAACCAGACAAAGGAUAGCAGUGGCAGCUGUGUCUGCGUGAACGGGUACGCCCUUGAGAGCGGCACUUGCAUUCCCCAGGCCAAGAAGGCUAGUUUCACACCGAUUGCUGUGGGGGUCGCUGCCUCUAUCGUCGGUGUCCUGGUCAUCGUCCUUGUCUGUUGGUUCGUCUUGCGACAACGGCAGGGACCGAAGGCGCCCUCUACUAUGGCGGGGUCCAGAAGACUCGCAGGCACCAUGGACGAUGUCUAGUCCCUCACCUCUAUCUAUAGUUCAUACCAAGUAAACUAUUAUCUAUUUGACACGGCUCUACGCAUGAUCGUUUUCUUAGUUCUCAAUUGUACUGAGUUAACGAAAGCUCUCACAGGCACUAAUUACAUAGAUGUCCACGGGGAUCCCGACUGUUUACUAGAAACAUAGCGUCGCGAGGGCCGCACCCGGCGCUGGCGCGACGUGAUUUCUGCCCAGUGCCACGACAGUCACCGUGAAGAGAUCCGCCCAAGCCCUGGUAAACGGCGGGAGUAACUAUGACUCUCUUAAGGUAGCCAAAUGCCUCGUCGGGCAAUUUCCGACGUGCAUGAAUGGACCAACGAGGAUCCCACUGUCCCGAGCCGCGCCUCCGCGAACCUCCAGACUCGGGAACGGGCGAGUGCCGGCCAGCGGGGCAAGAAGACCCUUUUGAGCUUGACUCCAGCCCGGGCCUGUGGGGCGGGGCGGCCGGCGCAGCGCACAGGGGAGGCCGCGCCCCUGAGACACCCUGACGGCCGCCGCCGCCCCGCUCACCCGGUCGCGCGGGGACCCGCCCGGGCGGGGAGUUUGGCUGGGGCGGCGCGCCUGCUACACCGGACCGCAGGCGUCCCACGGCGGGCUCAGCGAGGACGGAAACCUCCCGCGGAGCAGAAGGGCACAAGCCCGCCCGACCCGCGCCCCCCGUGCCGGCGCGGGCCGCGAAAGCGGGGCCUACCGAUCCUUCGCCGCCCGGGCCGCGGGCGCGGAGGUGACAGAAAAGUUACCACAGGGAUAACUGGCUUGUGGCCGCCGAGCGCCCGCAGCGACGCGGCUUUUUGAUCCUUCGAUGUCGGCUCUUCCUACCGUCCGCGCGCACCGGCGCGGAAGCGUCGGAUUGUUCACCCGUUCAAGGGAUCGUGAGCUGGGUUUAGACCGUCGUGAGACAGGUUAGUUUUACCCUACUGGCCCCGGGGCCAGAGCACGGCGGGCCAGUACGAGAGGAACGCCCGCCGCGGGCCGCCAGCCCCGCGGUUGCCCGGCCGGGCAGCGCCGCGCCGCCGCGCCCGUACGGCG
rnacentral:ncRNA from 1 species